rnacentral:rRNA from 1 species
UUGGAGGGCAAGUCUGGUGCCAGCAGCCGCGGUAAUUCCAGCUCCAAUAGCGUAUAUUAAAGUUGUUGCAGUUAAAAAGCUCGUAGUUGAAUUUCGGGGUUAGUAGGUUGGUCAUGCCACUGGUAUGUACUGGUCUCACUGAUUCCUCCUUCCUGAUGAGCCGUAAUGCCAUUAAUUUGGUGUUGCGAGGAAUCUGGACUGUUACUUUGAAAAAAUUAGAGUGUUUAAAGCAAGCUAACGCUUGAAUACAUUAGCAUGGAAUAAUGAAAUAGGACGUUCGAUCCUAUUUUGUUGGUUUCUAGGAUUGACGUAAUGAUUAAUAGGGAUAGUUGGGGGCAUUAGUAUUCAAUUGUCAGAGGUGAAAUUCUUGGGUUUAUUGAAGACUAACUACUGCGAAGGCAUUUGCCAAGGAUGUUUUCAUUAAUCAAGAACGAAAGUUAGGGGAUCGAAGACGAUCAGAUACCGUCGUAGUCUUAACCAUAAACUAUGCCGACUAGGGAUCGGAUGAUGUUAUUUUUAAUGACUCAUUCGGCGCCUUACGGGAAAC